AACCGCAGGGAUCACUCCUAUCACGGCUCAGCUACAGCCGUGCCUCUCAGAAAGAGGGGUUCCAGGGGACCAUUUAUCAUCAGCCAUCUGAAUCAGCCAUCUAUUAUGGCAUUGUUGCCCUUCUGAAAUGCUUUUAAAAUGCUGGCUUCUGUUUGUACUGAGAAAAAUGGAACCUCAUGCGUAAGAAGUCGUGGCAAUUUCACCACAGAGGACAUUGGGUCAAGCUACGCUCACAAAGCCCGGAACCGGAGGUCUCUCCUUCAAAGGCUGAACACCUCCAGUCUGUCUGAAAUCCAAUGGUAUGUACAUCCAAUGGCAUGUACUUCCAGGAGAUGAGAAGGAAGAUACCACAUGAAAGUGUGCGCAGACUGUGGUAUGCCUGUAAGCUGGGGAGGACAAAGACCAUCGGAGCCACGAAGCCAGAACACAUACAGGAAACACACUAUCUUCCAGGCACUCAAGGAGGAACCAAUCCCAUAGAGACCUUUGAUUUUGGACUUCUGCUUGCCUUUUCUCUCUCUUUCUUUCUUUCUUUCUUUCUUUCUUUCUUUCUUUCUUUCUUUCUUCCUUCCUUCCUUCCUUCCUUUCUUUCUUUCUUUCUUCCUCCUUUCUUUCUUUCUUUCUUUCUUUCUUUCUUACUUUCUUUCUUUCUUUCUUUCUUUCUUUUAUAAAAAAAGGAUUAAUUACCAAGCCAUUGGCUACUAUUUACCUGUGUAACCUGAGGUAAGUCAUUGAGUUGAUAUAGUAGUCUGUUUUGGAUCUCCACAAUGGGUAUUAAAAAAAGAGCCUCUUCCACAGAACUGCCUGGCUAAUAACCAACAGAGCCCAUGUAUUCCACAGUGCUUCAGGAAAUUGAUAAGUGGUGCCUGACUUGUUAUAAACAGCUGCAUGUGAGACAAGGGGGUAACCAUGGACACAGGGCUGUGCCCUUGAGAAAGGCAGAAAUGGGAGUUGUCUUAGCUAGUAGGGUUUUACUGCUGUCAACAGACACCAUGACCAAGGCAAGUCUUAUAAAAGAACAUUUAAUUGGGGCUGGCUUACAGACUCAGAGGUUCAGUCCAGCAUCAUCAAGGCAGGAACAUAGCAGCAUCCAGGCAGGCAUGAUGCAGGAGGAGCUGAGAGUUCUCCAUCUUCCUCUGAAGGCUAUUAGCAGAAUAUUCACUUCCAGACAGCUAGGACAAGGGUCUUAAGCCCAUCCCCACAGUGGCACACGUACUCCAAUGGGGCCAUACCUCCUAAUAGUGCCACUCUCUGGGCCGAGCAUAUACAAACCAUCACAGUGGUGAUAUGUAUGAAGAAGGUAGAAGUGAAUAGGGAAGACAGUGUAGCUUGCAAGGGAUCUGGUUUGAAAUAGGGGUAAGGGGAAUUGUGGGAGGGUGGGCAGGAUUUUGUAUGUCUUUGCUUGUUGCUGUAAACCAUGCCUGGCAUUAUUUAUACCUAACGCUGAGAGCAGGGUUAAAAAAAAUAACAUUAGAAGGAACACAGGCUUUGAAGGAACAAGAACAGUGGCCUUCUCUUUCUGGCACAUUUUAAGCAACAGUCUGUCCCACAGCCACCGGACGCCAUUAUCCAACACCACUGUGUGAAAAGCCCACAUGCCUGCAGCUGUGUGUGUGUGUGUGACCUUUUCAUUCUCUCAAUCCUCAAUGACAAAGCAUGGGAAGUAAAGAAGAGGUAAGUUCCUUCGUGACAGCAAUGGGGCUGAGGGCGAGGGUUCGGGCACAAUGGGGUGUUUGAGAAUGCAGAUAAAUAAAAGAACAUUGUAUAAGCA
rnacentral:lncRNA from 1 species